rnacentral:rRNA from 1 species
AGCAGCCGCGGUAAUUCCAGCUCCAAUAGCGUAUAUUAAAGUUGUUGCAGUUAAAAAGCUCGUAGUUGAAUUUCGGGGUCAGUAGGUCGGUCGUGCCACAGGUAUGCACUGGUCUCACUGAUUCCUCCUUCCUGAUGAACCGUAAUGCCAUUAAUUUGGUGUUGCGGGGAGACUGGACUGUUACUUUGAAAAAAUUAGAGUGUUUAAAGCGGGCUAACGCUUGAAUACAUUAGCAUGGAAUAACGGAAUAGGACGUUCGAUCUUAUUUUGUUGGUUUCUAAGAUUGACGUAAUGAUUAAUAGGGAUAGUUGGGGGCAUUAGUAUUCAAUUGUCAGAGGUGAAAUUCUUGGAUUUAUUGAAGACUAACUACUGCGAAAGCAUUUGCCAAGGAUGUUUUCAUUAAUCAAGAACGAAAGUUAGGGGAUCGAAGACGAUCAGAUACCGUCGUAGUCUUAACCAUAAACUAUGCCGACUAGGGAUCGGAUGAUGUUAAUUUUUAAUGACUCAUUCGGCGCCUUAC